CUUUUAUCUCACUGAAUUUAUAAAGAAACAUUCUAAGCAAAAAAACACUAAAAUAUAAAUAUUUACUUCCCUCUAUAUAAAUUAGUUUCUGGCUUCUCCACCCCUUUUUGCACUUAGUGGAUAUGCAGUUUGCUAUAUUGAAUGAAUGCACAGGUACAUACUGCUUUAUGCUAGGAGCUAUCAAUAGUAUGUAGCUAAUACAUCAUAUUGAAUGAAAGACUUCAUAAAUCAGUUACAGGAGGGAUCAUACAAUGCUUUUAGUGCAUUUCCAAAGAGUCAUAAAAACUAUAAAUCAAUGUAUUUUUGAUUAAUCAACUCACAGUGUCAGCUUUUGGCAAUACUUAUCUGUUGUGUCCUUCUAACUGCAGGUGCACUGGAAAGAGGGCAACCAUCUGUCACAGGGAUGGUUAUGCAAGAAAACAGAAGCAAAAACUAUUAUUCUAUUGUCAACAUCCAGAUGAGUCCCAAAAUUUGCUGCAUUGGGGCUGAUGUUAAGGCAAUCUGACUUACAGUCUGGAAUUUGCAGUGAAAAUAAUAGAAUUUUGAACGGUGAGGUAAAAGAGCAGGUAGCUCAAGUGAGAGAAGAUGCUUGGCGAGAAAUUUGGACAAGAAUCAGAAGUUUUCAGAUUUCCAGAAUGAAAGAUAGUGGAAGUUAAGAGGAAAUUAUGACCGUGUAAAGCCCCUGAAACUUCACUCAGGUGAUGAAGGCUAAUUUAUAAUAUCUGACAAAGAUACUUCAAAAUUUUGGAUUCCUGUAGUUAGUAAUUUACCAAAAUUAAGCAGUCACGUUAGUAUUAUUUUUUUCAUUCUAUUUGAAAAAGUGUGAAGUUGUAAUCUGCAAUAACUUAAAGCAAGAGAAUGACAUAUCAGAAAUGUUAAGGACGUAGUCAGAUAUGGACAGCAUUUGACCAGAGGACUACACAAGUGAAGAACUAAUUUUAGUAAAAUUUGAGACAGGUAGAAAAGAUACAUUGGCUCAUGUGUGUGUGAGGAUUUAGGCUUACAUUUUGUUUUAUUAUGUUUUCCACUUCAUAUCAAUCACCUUCUGCUAAUAUAGUUUCUAAUUCAAAGAAGACACAAAAAUUUGUUGAAUGGGACCAAAAAAAUUAAAAACUGCAUGUUCCAAAUACUUUAUGUUAUCCUAAAAUUGAGUCUAAAUUAAAUAAAAUUACUACCAGAGAAUAUGAAGGAUUGUAU
rnacentral:lncRNA from 1 species